rnacentral:rRNA from 1 species
GACGAACCGAGCGAACGUUAUUCGGAAUCACUGGGCUUAAAGGGCGCGUAGGCGGGCCGUCAAGUCGAGGGUGAAAUCCCCCAGCUCAACUGGGGAAGUGCCUCCGAUACUGGCGGCCUCGAGGGGAAUAGGGGCAUGCGGAACUUCCGGUGGAGCGGUGAAAUGCGUAGAUAUCGGAAGGAACACCGGUGGCGAAAGCGGCGUGCUGGAUCCCUUCUGACGCUGAGGCGCGAAAGCCAGGGGAGCGAACGGG